GCGACCCCAGGUCAGGCAGGAACACCC
rnacentral:rRNA from 1 species